UGAAAUCAUAAUAAACAACAUUUGAACAUAUUUUUGGGCAUGAAAACGAUAAUUAAUAUAAAAUCAUUGAGCUAUUCCAUCCCAUACAAUGAUUCGUUUAUAGCUCGACUUAGAGGUGCGCGUGAUAGCACCCAAACCAUAGGAGAGCCAUGUCGAGCUCAUCAAAAAACCUUUUGAGUGACUUUGCAUGUGGUGCAGACAAUACAGCACACCAGAUGUCACAAAUGGUCUAACAUUGGAAGCACCCUCAGUCAGUCAAUCAUUGUUUGCGAAUUCAAUCACUAAAUAUGUCAAAAAGCAUAAUAUUAAAUACCAAUAAAUAAAUUGAAUGAUG